rnacentral:piRNA from 2 species
GUGGUAGUGGGGGACUGCGUUCGCGC